AUUGAACGCUGGCGGCAUGCCUUACACAUGCAAGUCGAACGGCAGCACGGACUUCGGUCUGGUGGCGAGUGGCGAACGGGUGAGUAAUGUAUCGGAACGUACCUUUCAGUGGGGAAUAACGUAGCGAAAGUUACGCUAAUACCGCAUAUUCUGUGAGCAGGAAAGCAGGGGAUCGAAAGACCUUGCGCUGAUUGAGCGGCCGAUAUCAGAUUAGCUAGUUGGUGGGGUAAAGGCCUACCAAGGCGACGAUCUGUAGCGGGUCUGAGAGGAUGAUCCGCCACACUGGAACUGAGACACGGUCCAGACUCCUACGGGAGACAGCAGUGGGGAAUUUUGGACAAUGGGGGCAACCCUGAUCCAGCCAUGCCGCGUGAGUGAAGAAGGCCUUCGGGUUGUAAAGCUCUUUCGGCCGGGAAGAAAUCGCAUAGGCUAAUACCCUGUGUGGAUGACGGUACCGGAAGAAGAAGCACCGGCUAACUACGUG
rnacentral:rRNA from 1 species